rnacentral:rRNA from 1 species
GACGGAGGGUGCUAGCGUUGUUCGGAAUUACUGGGCGUAAAGCGCGUGUAGGCGGCUUUGCAAGUCGGGCGUGAAAUCCCACGGCUCAACCGUGGAAGUGCACUCGAAACUGCAGAGCUAGAGUCCUGGAGAGGAAGGUGGAAUGCUUGGUGUAGAGGUGAAAUUCGUAGAUAUCAAGCGGAACACCGGUGGCGAAGGCGGCCUUCUGGACAGUGACUGACGCAUGAGACGGCGAAAGCGUGGGGAGCAAACAGG